rnacentral:rRNA from 1 species
AAUGAACGCUGGCGGCGUGCCUUAUACAUGCAAGUCGAACGCGAACGUAGACUUCGGUCUACUAGUAGAGUGGCGAACGGGUGAGUAACACGUGGGCAAUCUGCCCUAGAGUGGGGAACAACUUGAGGAAACUCGAGCUAAUACCGCAUACGUCCUUCUGGUCACGACCGGAAGGGGAAAGACAGCCUCUUCUUGAAAGCUGUCGCUCUUGGAGGAGCCCGCGCUCGAUUAGCUAGUUGGUGGGGUAACGGCCCACCAAGGCGACGAUCGAUAGCCGGCCUGAGAGGGUGAUCGGCCACACUGGAACUGAGACACGGUCCAG